CCUACGGGAGGCAGCAGUGAGGAAUAUUGGUCAAUGGCCGCAGGGCUGAACCAGCCAAGUCGCGUGAGGGAUGACGGUCCUAUGGAUUGUAAACCUCUUUUGUCAGGGAGCAAAGGGAGCCACGUGUGGCGCUUUGCGAGUACCUGAAGAAAAAGCAUAGGCUAACUCCGUGCCAGCAGCCGCGGUAAUACGGAGGAUGCGAGCGUUAUCCGGAUUUAUUGGGUUAAAAGGGUGCGCAGGCGGAAUGUCAAGUCAGCGGUAAAAUUUCGGGGCUCAACCCCGUCGUGCCGUUGAAACUGGCGUUCUUGAGUGAGCGAGAAGUAUGCGGAAUGCGUGGUGUAGCGGUGAAAUGCAUAGAUAUCACGCAGAACUCCGAUUGCGAAGGCAGCAUACCGGCGCUCAACUGACGCUCAUGCACGAAAGCGUGGGUAUCGAACAGGAUUAGAUACCCCAGUAGUC
rnacentral:rRNA from 1 species